AGCAGCCGCGGUAAUUCCAGCUCCAAUAGCGUAUAUUAAAGUUGUUGCAGUUAAAAAGCUCGUAGUUGAAUUUCGGAAUCAGAUUGUCGGUCGUGCCUCGGUACGCACUGGCAUUAUUGGUUCCUACCUUCUGAAGAACCGCGAUGUCAUUAAUUUGGUGUCGUGGGGAAUCAGGACUGUUACUUUGAAAAAAUUAGAGUGUUUAAAGCAGGCGCACGCUUGAAUACAUUAGCAUGGAAUAAUGAAAUAGGACGUUUGAUUCUAUUUUGUUGGUUUCUAGGAUCGACGUAAUGAUUAAUAGGGAUAGUUGGGGGCAUUAGUAUUCAAUUGUCAGAGGUGAAAUUCUUGGAUUUAUUGAAGACUAACUACUGCGAAAGCAUUUGCCAAGGAUGUUUUCAUUAAUCAAGAACGAAAGUUAGGGGGAUCGAAGACGAUCAGAUACCGUCGUAGUCUUAACCAUAAACUAAUGCCGACUAGGGAUCGGAUGAUGUUAAUUUUUUAAAUGACUCGCUCGGC
rnacentral:rRNA from 1 species